AUAUCAGCUGUAAGGUUCUAGUUUGUUGUGUGUGUCCAGAGAGAGACAGCUGUAAGGUUCUAGUUUGUUGUGUGUGUCCAGAGAGAGACAGCUGUAAGGUUCUAGUUUGUUGUGUGUGUCCAGAGAGAGACAGCUGUAAGGUUCUAGUUUGUUGUGUGUGUCCAGAGAGAGACAGCUGUAAGGUUCUAGUUUGUUGUGUGUGUCCAGAGAGAGACAGCUGUAAGGUUCUAGUUUGUUGUUGUGUGUGUCCAGAGAGAGACAGCUGUAAGGUUCUAGUUUGUUGUGUGUGUCCAGAGAGAGACAGCUGUAAGGUUCUAGUUUGUUGUGUGUGUCCAGAGAGAGACAGCUGUAAGGUUCUAGUUUGUUGUGUGUGUCCAGAGAGAGACAGCUGUAAGGUUCUAGUUUGUUGUGUGUGUCCAGAGAGAGACAGCUGUAAGGUUCUAGUUUGUUGUGUGUGUCCAGAGAGAGACAGCUGUAAGGUUCUAGUUUGUUGUGUGUGUCCAGAGAGAGACAGCUGUUAGGUUCUAGUUUGUUGUGUGUGUCCAGAGAGAGACAGCUGUAAGGUUCUAGUUUGUUGUGUGUGUCCAGAGAGAGACAGCUGUAAGGUUCUAGUUUGUUGUUGUGUGUGUCCAGAGAGAGACAGCUGUAAGGUUCUAGUUUGUUGUGUGUGUCCAGAGAGAGACAGCUGUAAGGUUCUAGUUUGUUGUGUGUGUCCAGAGAGAGACAGCUGUUAGGUUCUAGUUUGUUGUGUGUGUCCAGAGAGAGACAGCUGUAAGGUUCUAGUUUGUUGUUGUGUGUGUCCAGAGAGAGACAGCUGUAA